rnacentral:rRNA from 1 species
GAUGAACGCUGGCGGCGUGCCUAAUACAUGCAAGUCGAGCGAACGGACGAGAAGCUUGCUUCUCUGAUGUUAGCGGCGGACGGGUGAGUAACACGUGGAUAACCUACCUAUAAGACUGGGAUAACUUCGGGAAACCGGAGCUAAUACCGGAUAAUAUUUUGAACCGCAUGGUUCAAAAGUGAAAGACGGUCUUGCUGUCACUUAUAGAUGGAUCCGCGCUGCAUUAGCUAGUUGGUAAGGUAACGGCUUACCAAGGCAACGAUGCAUAGCCGACCUGAGAGGGUGAUCGGCCACACUGGAACUGAGACACGGUCCAGACUCCUACGGGAGGCAGCAGUAGGGAAUCUUCCGCAAUGGGCGAAAGCCUGACGGAGCAAUGCCGCGUGAGUGAUGAAGGUCUUCGGAUCGUAAAACUCUGUUAUUAGGGAAGAACAUAUGUGUAAGUAACUGUGCACAUCUUGACGGUACCUAAUCAGAAAGCCACGGCUAACUACGUGCCAGCAGCCGCGGUAAUACGUAGGUGGCAAGCGUUAUCCGGAAUUAUUGGGCGUAAAGCGCGCGUAGGCGGUUUUUUAAGUCUGAUGUGAAAGCCCACGGCUCAACCGUGGAGGGUCAUUGGAAACUGGAAAACUUGAGUGCAGAAGAGGAAAGUGGAAUUCCAUGUGUAGCGGUGAAAUGCGCAGAGAUAUGGAGGAACACCAGUGGCGAAGGCGACUUUCUGGUCUGUAACUGACGCUGAUGUGCGAAAGCGUGGGGAUCAAACAGGAUUAGAUACCCUGGUAGUCCACGCCGUAAACGAUGAGUGCUAAGUGUUAGGGGGUUUCCGCCCCUUAGUGCUGCAGCUAACGCAUUAAGCACUCCGCCUGGGGAGUACGACCGCAAGGUUGAAACUCAAAGGAAUUGACGGGGACCCGCACAAGCGGUGGAGCAUGUGGUUUAAUUCGAAGCAACGCGAAGAACCUUACCAAAUCUUGACAUCCUUUGACAACUCUAGAGAUAGAGCUUUCCCCUUCGGGGGACAAAGUGACAGGUGGUGCAUGGUUGUCGUCAGCUCGUGUCGUGAGAUGUUGGGUUAAGUCCCGCAACGAGCGCAACCCUUAAGCUUAGUUGCCAUCAUUAAGUUGGGCACUCUAAGUUGACUGCCGGUGACAAACCGGAGGAAGGUGGGGAUGACGUCAAAUCAUCAUGCCCCUUAUGAUUUGGGCUACACACGUGCUACAAUGGACAAUACAAAGGGCAGCGAAACCGCGAGGUCAAGCAAAUCCCAUAAAGUUGUUCUCAGUUCGGAUUGUAGUCUGCAACUCGACUACAUGAAGCUGGAAUCGCUAGUAAUCGUAGAUCAGCAUGCUACGGUGAAUACGUUCCCGGGUCU